rnacentral:rRNA from 1 species
GAUGAACGCUGGCGGCGUGCCUAAUACAUGCAAGUCGAGCGAACAGACGAGGAGCUUGCUCCUCUGACGUUAGCGGCGGACGGGUGAGUAACACGUGGAUAACCUACCUAUAAGACUGGGAUAACUUCGGGAAACCGGAGCUAAUACCGGAUAAUAUAUUGAACCGCAUGGUUCAAUAGUGAAAGACGGUUUUGCUGUCACUUAUAGAUGGAUCCGCGCCGCAUUAGCUAGUUGGUAAGGUAACGGCUUACCAAGGCAACGAUGCGUAGCCGACCUGAGAGGGUGAUCGGCCACACUGAAACUGAGACACGGUCCAGACUCCUACGGGAGGCAGCAGUAGGGAAUCUUCCGCAAUGGGCGAAAGCUUGACGGAGCAACGCCGCGUGAGUGAUGAAGGUCUUCGGAUCGUAAAACUCUUUUAUUAGGGAAGAACAAAUGUGUAAGUAACUAUGCACGUCUUGACGGUACCUAAUCAGAAAGCCACGGCUAACUACGU